UAGGGAAUCUUCGGCAAUGGACGGAAGUCUGACCGAGCAACGCCGCGUGAGUGAAGAAGGUUUUCGGAUCGUAAAGCUCUGUUGUAAGAGAAGAACGAGUGUGAGAGUGGAAAGUUCACACUGUGACGGUAUCUUACCAGAAAGGGACGGCUAACUACGUGCCAGCAGCCGCGGUAAUACGUAGGUCCCGAGCGGUGUCCGGAUUUAUUGGGCGUAAAGCGAGCGCAGGCGGUUAGAUAAGUCUGAAGUUAAAGGCUGUGGCUUAACCAUAGUACGCUUUGGAAACUGUUUAACUUGAGUGCAAGAGGGGAGAGUGGAAUUCCAUGUGUAGCGGUGAAAUGCGUAGAUAUAUGGAGGAACACCGGUGGCGAAAGCGGCUCUCUGGCUUGUAACUGACGCUGAGGCUCGAAAGCGUGGGGAGCAAACAGG
rnacentral:rRNA from 1 species